rnacentral:lncRNA from 1 species
GCAUUCCAAUGAUCGACAGAUCAAUAACGUCCGAUGGACCAAUGAAAUACCACCAGCACAGGAGAAUCUUCCGUCCAUCUCACCAGCAGCACCAGUGGCAUCUCUGGCAUCGGCCAUCUCCCACAACCAAUAUAAUAGCCUCGUCCAACAAGUACAGGCCCUGUCAGCUGCAGUGCAGAGGAUACAAUAAAAUACGGAGCCACCCCCCACUGCAGAAGAUGCACGGCCAGCA